rnacentral:rRNA from 1 species
CAGGGAGGUAGUGACGAUAAAUAACAAUGCGGGGCUUUACAGUCCAGCAAUUGGAAUGAGAACAAUUUAAAUCCCUUAACGAGGAUCAAUUGGAGGGCAAGUCUGGUGCCAGCAGCCGCGGUAAUUCCAGCUCCAAUAGCGUAUAUUAAAGUUGUUGCAGUUAAAAAGCUCGUAGUUGGAUUUCUGGUCGGAGCGAUCGGUCCGCCUCAUUCGGGGUGUGUACUUGUGUCGUCUCCAGCCAUCCUUGAGGAGAACUGUCCUGGCAUUGAGUUGUUGGGGCAGGGAACCUCAUCUUUUACUGUGAAAAAAUUAGAGUGUUUAAAGCAGGCUUACGCCGUUGAAUACAUUAGCAUGGAAUAAUAAGAUAGGACUUUGGCGGUCUAUUUUGUUGGUUUGCACGCCGAGGUAAUGAUUAAUAGGGAUAGUUGGGGGUAUUCGUAUUUAAUUGUCAGAGGUGAAAUUCUUGGAUUUCUGAAAGCGAACUACUGCGAAAGCAUUUACCAAGGAUAGUUUUCAUUAAUCAAGAACGAAAGUUA